CGGACGGGUGAGUAACACGUGGAUAACCUACCUAUAAGACUGGGAUAACUUCGGGAAACCGGAGCUAAUACCGGAUAAUAUAUUGAACCGCAUGGUUCAAUAGUGAAAGACGGUUUUGCUGUCACCUAUAGAUGGAUCCGCGCCGCAUUAGCUAGUUGGUAAGGUAACGGCUUACCAAGGCAACGAUGCGUAGCCGACCUGAGAGGGUGAUCGGCCACACUGGAACUGAGACACGGUCCAG
rnacentral:rRNA from 1 species